UCUCUGGUGGCUCAGAUGGUAAAGAAUCUGCCUGCAAUGCAGGAGACCCAGGUUUGAUCCCUGGGUGGGGAA
rnacentral:tRNA from 1 species